GAAAUGCGAUACUUGGUGUGAAUUGCAGAAUCCCGCGAACCAUCGAGUCUUUGAACGCAAGUUGCGCCCGAAGCCAUUAGGUUGAGGGCACGCCUGCCUGGGCGUCUCACGUUGCGGGCGGAUGUUGGCCCCCCGCGCGCGGUCGGCCCAAAAGCGAGUCCCCCGCGACCGAUGACGCGUCGCGACGAGUGGUGGUUGACAAACCGUUGCAUCGCCUCGCGCGCGCCCGGUCCGUCACGGGGGGCCUGUCGUGACCCUAUCGCGCCGCCGCCAAGGCGCUCCGAUCGCGACCUCAGGUCAGGCGGGGCUACCCGCUGAGUUUAA
rnacentral:misc_RNA from 1 species